rnacentral:lncRNA from 1 species
AUUUUAUUAUAAAGGUUUUUCGUUUUUCUACUGCUCCGUACUCCGUGUGCUCCGUGUUUUACUAAUAGCCCUAUACGUCAGGCAAUGAGAAAUAUAAAGUGAAUUUUUAAAAAAAUUCUCUCACUGACCAAAUCAAAAAGCAAAAACACGGCUAUAAAUUAUAAUAUUUUUGGUAAGGCCUCUCUUCUCCAGGUAAAUCAUGGGCUUCCUUCCACUAUCGCAAUAGCGCAAAAAUGUUUUUGCGGACAAAUACCAUGUACAGACAACAAAUAAAAUCAGAUAUAAAACUUUUGUUAUACCACUCCUCCCCCUCCCCAUUAUAUGUAUAAGAAUUUGAAAUCAGAUCGAUGUAUACUUUGUACUGUUCAUAUAUUGAUGUUUUUUCUUUAAUGCUAUAUUAGUGCAAUUAUUAUAAUAUAUUAGGUCAUAUCUUUGUACAAAAAUAAUUGUUACUUAUAAAUAUAUUUAUAUUCAACAAAACACAUUUAAUCCAAAAAGCAAAUUUUGGUACGUUGCUCUUGUGCAAAUUUGAGAAUUAAGUGUUUAUAUAAUUAUAGGAAACUAGAAUCCACACAAGUUGACACAAAAAUUUGACACAUUGCAAAAUUUGACACAUUGCUAUUAAAAACAAAAUAUAAAAAGGCCGCUGCACAUGCUUACGAUUCGAACUUGGGCAAAUUUUGUGGUUUAAAAGCUAGCCGCAAGGCCAUAAUAAUUUAGCUAUAGUAUAGAGCAAACACAAAUGUUAACACGUUUAAGAACAAACAUAGAAAAUAUAUAUUUGUCCCGUCACUCAAGUACACACGUAAAAACGCACAAGUUUGUUACAAGUCUGUUCACAAGCUGUUAACAAGAUGUAUUCGCACUGCUUGUCACAACUUGUCAACAGGUUUGGAACAACUUGUUGACAACUUGUAACAACCUUGUCGAAAUUAUCAGACUUGUUGCAAGGUUGUUCUGACAAGUCUGUGCUGAUAUGUGCUGACAUGCUUGAUAUAACAAGAUUGUUAUAACCUUGUGUUGACAACCUUGUAACAUCCUUGUUAUAUCAUGGCUGUAACAAACUUGUUAGCACAAUCUUGUAACAAGGCUGAUAAUGCCAUCAAGCUUGUUACAAGUUGUUAACAGCUUGUUUCAAACUUGUUACAACAAACUGGGAACAAGCAGUGCGAGCACAACUUGUUGACAGCUUGUGAACAGACGUGUAACAACUUGUUUGCAGACUUGUUACAACUUGUGCGUUUUUACGUGUGUAGAGAGAUGCACCCAAUUUCAUGCAUAUCCGGCCGGAUAUUGUUUAUAUAAGGUUAAUCAUGCCUCCUUUACAGGCCUUUUUACUUGAAAUGCACACAGAGAAGCUGGCAGAAUUUUGAAGAUUUUCCAAUCUCGUUUGCAAAUGCGAAAAAGUGGAUUUAUCAUUUGAACUUUUUUAGCAAUCAUGCAUGUUGACCGAUAUCUGCAUGAUGUAGUAUAUGAUUGUAAAAUUAUUUCCUAUUGUUAUAAACACUUUCAAUUUUAAACCAAUUAAAAUCAAUACUGUUUGAACUCAAAUGAGGCCAGAACCUUCCCUUCCUGAACCUAAUAUGAAUAAUCCGGCCUAUUUUCAACUACCCGGCAUAUCCGGUAUCCCGCCGGAUAGCAAAAAAGUCUAUCCCGGUGCAACAUUACGUUCAAGGCAUUGUGUUCAAAGUUGCACAAUUGUGUCUGCCCCAUACUUGCAUGUACUCGCAGUAGUAUAUGUCGGCAAUGCAAAUACAUGUAUUGUCCAUUCGGGGUGGCGAAACUGCAUGCAGUUGUUUCAAAACAGAAAAUGUCCGAAUGAUCCAAUCGCAUUAGUUUGAUCACUUGUUAAAUACUUUUCUCACGAUCACAAAGUGAGCUGGCGUGUUAAUAUGGGAAAUUUUAAUCCCGCCUGCCUCGGCACUCUCACACGAAUGAAUGCGGUGUUAACUUAUAGUGAAGUUGAGCUCAUAUGAACAGGCCCAAAAGUUAUUCACAUAUACAGGGUGUAUCCAAAUAAACGCAAUUCAUCUUUUGUGCUUAAUAACUUUCGAAAUACUAUUUCUAGUUAAACGCUUUUAGGCUUACUUCAAAGCCUGUUCUUUUCUCUUUCAAACAAGCUAUUAUCCUUGUCUCCAAUGCUAGUAAUAAUUGCAUAGGAGAAGAUUUAGUAAAACCUAUAAUUUUUAGUUGCUGUUUAAUUAUGCAAGUUUACUAUGUUAUUGUUUAGUCGGUUUAAAUGUUAGAAUUUUCUUCUGUAGACUUUAAUGUUGUCCUCACUACAUCUGGAAAACCACGUAAGAACAAAUUAAAAGUAUUUUAAAAGAGACCAGGUUGUUUGAAAAUCCUAAACGAAUGCUAAAAAUCGUCAAAACAUUCUGGUGUCUGAGCGGCAGAGUGUCAUCGAAUUGCGAUGUAAUGUAAACAGAAAUUAUAGCAAGUUGAUGUCAGUCAGCUUAGAUGGUCCAAGCCAAAAUUAUAUCGCAUUUGAAGUUUCAAACUGAGUUAAAAAUAGUGGAAGAAAAGCCGUAAUUAUACUUGUUACAAUCCAUUUAAUAAUAUGCAACAUUUUUUUGUUUUAAUGAAAAAAUCAGUUAUUUUCAUGAGAACGAUUUCAAUUGUUAUUCCAUCUCAAUUUUUUUAAUCUCCAAUCGCAAUAACGUAAAGUAUUAUUACCCGCGAACCAAUGAGUCAAAUUUACGAAACAACCCACUGUUAGAAAGCUGAAUGGCUACGCUUUAAAAUGAAUGUAAACUUUAAAGUUUUCGUCAAUUAUUUGUUUAGCAAUUUACAUUUCAGUCGAGGAUUGCGCUUUUUUUUAUACACCCUGUAUAUGUAAGAUAAGACAGUAAACAUAGAGCAUGGGAAAAGCAAUGAUCACAUGCUUAGGAUUGAUACAGGUGUUCAGACAAGAUAGCAUUGACCGAAAAUCCACUUUUAUUUAAUUUACAACAUGCAUUCGUUUUCAGCAUC